GGGAGCUGCUGAGGUCUCAUAAGUACUUGUAGUAGUUAUGCUUAAUCUGUGGAGAAGAAGUUGUGCCUGGUGGGCAGGAACAAAAAUGAGAGAUCACUGGCAGGAAGAAAAGGAAAGUUGGAAUAAACAGAAAGCAUGUUGGAGAAUGAGGGGCCUGGAGGAGACCCCUGGGUCAGAACCUGUGAGAGGAGAGUAGGAUCGGAAUACGGGGAACACUGAGAACAGCCUAACCUAUGGGAAGAUGUGACCUAAAAGCUCAGAGGGGCUAAAUGUGGGCACUGAAGUGGCCCACAUUGUAAUGAAUCCCCUAGCAUCUGUGUUAACAGCACUGCAAAGCAUCCCCUUCUCCUUGGUUGCUCCUCACAGUCUGUGGCCAAAACCUGGCCCUGUCACCUUCCUUAGCCCACACAUCCUAUUAUUGUCCCAGAGUAGGAUAACACAGUUCUUCAUGCUUCAGUCAUGGCUGUCUUCCUGCAAAACAAACAAACAAACAAACAAACAAAACCAACAACCCAAACACCUCUCUGUGCAUUUUUCUCAGAGUGAGAGUGAGCAGCACGUAGAGCCCUGGAUUUAGGGAGGAGGAGCGAGGCAGCUUCCCCCACAUGGAGUGCUCUGGUGAGCAUACAGCUCCCAUGUGGAGCUUUCUAUGUAAGCUUCUGGAUUUUUCACUCUACAAAUGAGUAUAAAGCUGUAGAAUUCUUUGCUGCCUGGAUUCUGACGACUCACUUUCUCUUUUGGUAUUUUGGCUGUUUUUUCCAGUCCAGAUGUCUAGGAAUGAGUGGUAUUGAUGCCAUGUAGCCUUUCCAUUCCCAUCAGCAGGAAUACCUGAAACAUCCUCUCCUGCUACAUCUGAUGGGUAGCUACUGAAUCUGGUACUCUGAUAGGGAAGGAUGCUGCAGCUCUGGGUUUAGAUAACAGUGUGGCGAAGCAUCUGUUCCUGAUGGCAGCCUUGCAAGCGUGUAGGGACAAGGUGUUUUUGGGAACCUUUGAAUUCAGAAUAAAACAUUGGAGGCGUAUGCUAAGGAACUAGACUCAGCAGACAACUUUUCUGGUCUAACGUCUGACACUGUGCUCAGGACUGGAAUGACCAGACCUGGGAUACUUUGAGGCUUCCUCCACUAUAAGCAGCAGAGAACAAGUGUGCUGAAGUCUCUUAA
ensembl:lncRNA